rnacentral:rRNA from 1 species
CGCGGCCUAUCAGCUUGUUGGUGGGGUAGUGGCUUACCAAGGCUUUGACGGGUAGCCGGCCUGGGAGGGUGACCGGCCACAUUGGGACUGAGAUACGGCCCAGACUCCUACGGGAGGCAGCAGUGGGGAAUAUUGCACAAUGGGCGGAAGCCUGAUGCAGCAACGCCGCGUGCGGGAUGACGGCCUUCGGGUUGUAAACCGCUUUCGCCUGUGACGAAGCGUGAGUGACGGUAAUGGGUAAAGAAGCACCGGCUAACUACGUGCCAGCAGCCGCGGUGAUACGUAGGGUGCGAGCGUUGUCUGGAUUUAUUGGGCGUAAAGGGCUCGUAGGUGGUUGAUCGCGUCGGAAGUGUAAUCUUGGGGCUUAACCCUGAGCGUGCUUUCGAUACGGGUUGACUUGAGGAAGGUAGGGGAGAAUGGAAUUCCUGGUGGAGCGGUGGAAUGCGCAGAUAUCAGGAGGAACACCAGUGGCGAAGGCGGUUCUCUGGGCCUUUCCUGACGCUGAGGAGCGAAAGCGUGGGGAGCGAACAGGCUUAGAUACCCUGGUAGUCCACGCUGUAAACGGUGGGUACUAGGUGUGGGGUCCAUUCCACGGGUUCCGUGCCGUAGCUAACGCUUUAAGUACCCCGCCUGGGGAGUACGG